rnacentral:rRNA from 1 species
UACGUGAGGGGCGAACGUUGUUCGGUGUCACUGGGCUUAAAGGGCGCGUAGGCGGGUGACCAAGUCCGGGGGUGAAAUCCUCCAGCUCAACUGGAGAAGUGCCUCGGAUACUGGUUGUCUUGAGGAGGGCAGGGGCAUCUGGAACUAGCGGUGGAGCGGUGAAAUGCGUUGAUAUCGCUAGGAACUCCGGUGGCGAAGGCGAGGUGCUGGACCCUUUCUGACGCUGAGGCGCGAAAGCCAGGGGAGCGAACGGGG